UACGUAGGGGGCAAGCGUUGUCCGGAUUUAUUGGGCGUAAAGAGCUCGUAGGCGGUUCGGUAAGUCGGCUGUGAAAUCUCCACGCUCAACGUGGAGGGGUCAGUCGAAACUGCCGUGACUCGAGUCCGGUAGAGGAGUGUGGAAUUCCCGGUGUAGCGGUGAAAUGCGUAGAUAUCUAGAGGAACACCGGUGGCGAAGGCGGCGUCCUGGACUGUUACUGACACUGAGGAACGAAAGCCAGGGGAGCAAACAGG
rnacentral:rRNA from 1 species